AUAGAACGCUGGCGGUAUGCUUAACACAUGCAAGUCGAACGGCAGCAUGGUCUAGCUUGCUAGACUGAUGGCGAGUGGCGGACGGGUGAGUAACGCGUAGGAAUAUGCCUUGAAGAGUGGGACAACUUGGGGAAACUCAAGCUAUUACCGCAUGUACUCGAGAGAGUAAAGCUGGGGACCUUUAGGCCUGGCGCUUUAAGAUUAGCCUGCGUCCGAUUAGCUAGUUGGUAGGGUAAAGGCCUACCAAGGCGACGAUCGGUAGCUGGUCUGAGAGGAGGAUCAGCCACACUGGAACUGAGAGACGGUCCAGACUCCUACGGGAGGCAGCAGUGGGGAAUAUUGGACAAUGGGGGGAACCCUGAUCCAGCAAUGCCGCGUAUGUGAAGAAGGCCUGAGGGUUGUAAAGCACUUUCAGUGGGGAGGAGGUUUGGAAGGUUAAGAGCUAUUCAAAUGGACGUUACCCACAGAAGAAGCACCGGCUAACUCCGUGCCAGCCGCCGCCGUAA
rnacentral:rRNA from 1 species